AACGUGGCGCGUGAAAAGGCUCGAGGUGUUAUGGCAAGCAAGAAGGGAAUUAGGAUGAAGGGCGCAACGUGGCAUACAGAACGUUUUAUUUGGCUCGCACUAGCAAUGCUAUCGAAAGCAACGAGAAUUUCAAGUGGGGAGCCGGACAAUGUCCCAAGUGAAGACGACUAUUCGUAUGGCACUAUAAACUAUGAUGAAUUCACACCAAUACCAGGUGCAGCGCCUCCAGGGUUACACCUAAGCAGCGAGGACUAUGAAUCGGG
rnacentral:lncRNA from 1 species